UUUGAUAUUGGGCGUUGUUAUAACCAGAACGUCUGCGCAGUUGUGACAAUUUUGAACAAUCGAAAUGAAGCAUAAUCGCUGUAAACGAAAUACGUCGAGUCACCAAGACUUUUGAAUGUAUGCUACGAUAUCUGGCAAGCACUACAGAACUUAGGACUUGUUUACGUAGAAAUGUGACAGAUCAUCGUAGUCACGUGAGUUCAAGCUCAGUCAGGCUUGGCGCCCAUGCCAACUGAAAUAAAAGAUGGAAACUUCAAAGAUGGUUUUGAUAGCGGGCUAUCCUGGUUGAUUAAUUAAAGGUUGAUGUAGACAAUAUGGAUACAGUUUUCUAAGGCAAAGGUACAAAUCUGGAUACAGAUACAAAUUUGACAACAUGUUCAAUCGGGGGAGGUGGUGAUUGGAGUGCUUGAUGGCAAUACUCUGGGCACUGGAAUAUAGAAAUAAAUAAUAUGAGGAAAUGAUCACUCACUCGAAGAUAUGUGAUUUCCAGACAUCAAAAUUUAUUACUCAAUCUUGUAAAAUUCCUGAGGGAUGAUGUAAUAAUGUAAAUAAAUCUAGUAGGUGUGCCCGCCUAUUUAACUAUUAUACGCUUCAGUGUCAAGGCCAUGUGGAUUUAUUUUAUGUACUUUUGUCCUUAUUUGUUUUCAGGGUUGGAUAUGUGGAUGGCGUGAUGUUUCGGUUUAAUUUAAAAUCUUAGUUGACUGCUCUAUCCCCACUACCAGCGAUUACUCACGUGGACGAGAGGCGUUUUUGUUCAACCUGAUUCUAAACAAGAGACCUCUACCUAAAUAUGGUAUAUAAUGCUGCUAAUUCACACAAUAUGUACGUGAAGAGUGGAAACCACGACAUUUUAUUAACAUUGGUGAUUGUGAUUUCGUACUUAGCACAAUCUGAACUGGUGCUUCAACAUACUCUAUCUUAAUAAAAUGUAUCGCAAACUGUGUUUGAAAAAAAAUUUGUUCUGGUAGAUCAUUUC